UACGAAGGGUGCAAGCGUUACUCGGAAUUACUGGGCGUAAAGCGCACGUAGGCGGAUCCUUAAGUCGGGGGUGAAAUCCUGGAGCUCAACUCCAGAACUGCCUUCGAUACUGGCGAUCUCGAGUCCGGGAGAGGUGAGUGGAACUGCGAGUGUAGAGGUGAAAUUCGUAGAUAUUCGCAAGAACACCAGUGGCGAAGGCGGCUCACUGGCCCGGUACUGACGCU
rnacentral:rRNA from 1 species